rnacentral:rRNA from 1 species
GACGAACGCUGGCGGCGUGCUUAACACAUGCAAGUCGAACGGAAAGGCCCUGCUUUUGUGGGGUGCUCGAGUGGCGAACGGGUGAGUAACACGUGAGUAACCUGCCCUUGACUUUGGGAUAACUUCAGGAAACUGGGGCUAAUACCGGAUAGGAGCUCCUGCUGCAUGGUGGGGGUUGGAAAGUUUCGGCGGUUGGGGAUGGACUCGCGGCUUAUCAGCUUGUUGGUGGGGUAGUGGCUUACCAAGGCUUUGACGGGUAGCCGGCCUGAGAGGGUGACCGGCCACAUUGGGACUGAGAUACGACCCGGACUCCUACUGGAGGCAUCAGUGGGGAAUAUUGCACAAUGGGCGAAAGCCUGAUGCAGCAACGCCGCGUGCGGGAUGACUGCCUUCGGGUUGUAAACCGCUUUCGCCUGUGACGAAGCGUGAGUGACGGUAAUGUGUAAAGAAGCACCGGCUAACUACGUG